AGUGAACGCUGGCGGUAGGCCUAACACAUGCAAGUCGAACGGCAGCACAGUAAGAGCUUGCUCUUACGGGUGGCGAGUGGCGGACGGGUGAGGAAUACAUCGGAAUCUACUUUUUCGUGGGGGAUAACGUAGGGAAACUUACGCUAAUACCGCAUACGACCUACGGGUGAAAGCAGGGGAUCUUCGCACCUUGCGCGAUUGAAUGAGCCGAUGUCGGAUUAGCUAGUUGGCGGGGUAAAGGCCCACCAAGGCGACGAUCCGUAGCUGGUCUGAGAGGAUGAUCAGCCACACUGGAACUGAGACACGGUCCAGACUCCUACGGGAGGCAGCAGUGGGGAAUAUUGGACAAUGGGCGCAAGCCUGAUCCAGCCAUACCGCGUGGGUGAAGAAGGCCUUCGGGUUGUAAAGCCCUUCUGUUGGGAAAGAGAAGCAGCAGGUUAAUACCCCGCUGUUCUGACGGUACCCAAAGAAUAAGCACCGGCUAACUUCGUG
rnacentral:rRNA from 1 species